GCCAUAGCUCAGUGGAAAAGCAUCUACCUUGCAAGCAGAAGAGCCCAGGUUCAGUUCCUGGUAUUUCCA